rnacentral:rRNA from 1 species
CCUACGGGAGGCAGCAGUGAGGAAUAUUGGUCAAUGGUCGGGAGACUGAACCAGCCAAGCCGCGUGAGGGAUGAAGGUACAGAGUAUCGUAAACCUCUUUUGUCAGGGAACAAAGGCGGGGACGUGUCCCCGGAUGAGUGUACCUGAAGAAAAAGCAUCGGCUAACUCCGUGCCAGCAGCCGCGGUAAUACGGAGGAUGCGAGCGUUAUCCGGAUUUAGUGGGUUAAAGGGGUGCGCAGGCGGUCUGUUAAGUCAGCGGUCAAAGCCCGGGGCUCACCCCCGGCCCGCCGUUGAAACUGGCAGUCUCGAGUUGGAGAGAAGUAUGCGGAAUGCGCGGUGUAGCGGUGAAAUGCAUAGAUAUCGCGCAGAACUCCGAUUGCGAAGGCAGCAUGCUGGCUCCACACUGACGCUGAGGCACGAAAGCGUGGGUAUCGAACAGGAUUAGAUACCCUUGUAGUC